rnacentral:rRNA from 1 species
AGCGCAGGCGGCCAAGUCAGUCUGGAGUGGAAGCCCAGGGCUCAACCCUGGAAGUGCUUUGGAUACUGCUUGGCUUGAGUACGUAAGAGGAGAGUGGAAUUCCAGGUGUAGCGGUGAAAUGCGUAGAUAUCCGGAGGAACAUCAGUGGCGAAAGCGGCUCUCUGGUACGUUACUGACGCUGAGGCUCGAAAGCGUGGGGAGCGAACG